GUGAUGUUGGGGGCGUUGUGGUUAAGGUUCUCCGCUGGAGACUGGGAGGUCAUGGGUUCAAAUCUCAAGACGUCUCG